rnacentral:lncRNA from 1 species
GGCAGGGCCAGCGGGAAAUAGAGCCUGGAGGUCCUCCUCCCUCUUUUCUGCACACCCUGGGCCUCCAGAUUCUCCACCGGCCCCAAGGCAGUUUGGAUGGAGGCUGAGGGACUCUGCCUCCCAUAUCUCAUCUAUGGUGCCAUUAGAGGAAAGUUCUGUGCGUACUUCUCAGACAUCCGGUGCCCGGAGGGGUAGCUGGCCCCAGAUGCCAGGGCACCCAAUGGGGAGCGUCUUCUCAGGACUCUUUGGAGCUCGUUCUGCUAGGGCAGGAGCAGCCCUGGAGAACAGACUGAGUCUGAAAAAAGCAGCACGCAUCCAUCACUCCUCGCCUACAAGCAGAAACUGUGAAUAUCGUUUUUUUCCCCCUACAUGCUCAAGCCUAGCUGGCUUUUUGAAAGGACCUAUAGUGAAAUGAGACUCGUUUGGAAUGUAAUUCACAGCUCAGGUGAUCAGAAUCAUAAGGACCUCUUUUUUUUUUUUUUUCUUUUUUUAGUGUUUAUUUUUGAAAGAGAGAGACAGAGUGUGAGCCGGGAGGGGCAGAGCGGAAGGGAGACCCAGAAUCCCAAGCAGGCACCAGGCUCCGAGCUGUCAGCGCAGAGCCUGACGCGGGGCUCGAACCCACGAACCCUGAGACCAUGACCUGAGCUGAAGUUGCACGCUCAUCCGACUGAGCCACCCAGGCGUCCCAGCAUCAUAAGGAUUUCUUAAAUGAGAGCUGCAUCGCUGCACGACACUCACCUGCAGUCUCCAAAUGGGCUUCAUGAGCCCCAGGCGAACGUGGGACCAGAAGGGUGGCGGAGGGCAUCUGUCACUGAGGAAAGAGCAUCGUUGUCCCUGCAGACUCCCUGGCUCUGGCUAAGGUUUGCGGCGAGAUCUGCACCCUGUGCACACGAAGUCCAUGCUCUCCCUUGAUCCUUCGGCCCAACUAGACUAUAUUACCCAGACUCCCUUGCAGCAGACUGUUGGCUACCCGCUUCCUUUUUGCCAAUCAAACAUCAGCCAAGCGAUGUGUGCCACUUUCGCGUUCCGGGCUUUAACACAUCAGGCGUGCCACUUCGGGCUGGCUGGAACCUGGUCUAGGUGGAGACUCAGCAGGCAAAGGCAAUGCCCUGGGGCUGGGUCGGCAAACUCCACCCCGAAUCCAGCCCCCGGAGGACCUGGCCACGCCCACCAUUUGAUUACUGCUCUUGCUUGGGAGUUGCGGAGUUGUAACAGAGCCCAGGGUCCGCAGACGUUUGAAUUCAAGAUCCCCGCCCUGGCCUCUUCGAGACCCUCACCUUCAGGAGUACCUGGACGAGGCAGUAAAAAUACGACCUGGCCCUUUGGAUCACGGUGAGACCAGGAUUAGUGCCGGUGGUGAGUGGGGGAAGCAGCGGACUGUGGGGUAAACUGCUUACGUUGUUCCAAGAGGCAGAUGUCUUCCUUCGAGCGAGUGCCAUCCUCCCCAUCCCCCCCAGAGCUCAAGAACCUCUGAAAGCAGGUUGCUAUCCUCUUUGCUCUGCCUGGAGCCCUCAGCGCUUUCUGCUGGACCCAUUUUAUUUGUUCUCCUCGAUCUCCAAAGAGUCUGGCCUCAUUAUAGACGGUGGUAAAGGCUUCCCUCCCCACGGCUCUAUGGGGAGGGAGAUCAGCUGACUUGAUCAAUAGACCCAAACUUUAAUUUUUCUUACCUAGCCGG